rnacentral:rRNA from 1 species
GACGAACGCUGGCGGCGCGCUUAACACAUGCAAGUCGAGCGAGAACCCAGGCUUCGGCCUGGGGGAAAGCGGCGAACGGGUGAGUAUCACGUGGGUAAUCUGCCCUCGACAUCGGGAUAGCCCGGGGAAACCCGGAUUAAUACCGAAUGGCCCAUCCGCUCUUCAGAGCGGCUGGGAAAGGUAGCCUCGGCCUCCAGUCGAGGAGGCGCCCGCGGCGGAUUAGCUUGUUGGUGAGGUAAUGGCUCACCAAGGCGACGAUCCGUAGCUGGUCUGAGAGGACGAUCAGCCACACUGGGACUGAGACACGGCCCAGGCUCCUACGGGAGGCAGCAGUGGGGAAUCUUGCGCAAUGGGCGAAAGCCUGACGCAGCGACGCCGCGUGCGGGAAGAAGGCCUUCGGGUUGUAAACCGCUUUCAGGAGGGACGAAGCCACUCGGGUUAAUAGCCCAGAGGGUGACGGUACCUCCAGAAGAAGCCCCGGCUAACUACGUGCCAGCCGCCGCGGUAAUAC